rnacentral:pre_miRNA from 10 species
GACCACACGGGAUAAUCGAUUAUCAUGUGCGGUCGACUUAAUACAACCGCACGGGAAAAUCGAUUAUCCCGUACGAUC